CAGCAACUCUUCAUACAAUGAUUAACUGCUCUUGUUUGACAUCUACUUUUCAGAUGCAUCUGUAAGUAACUGUUAUGGGCCUUCUUCCAUUUUGCAUCCAAUCCGCUUGACAAUGGCACCCACAGUUACCCAGGAGACAGGCCUUUAUGUGAGGGGCAUGUGCUGAAAAAAGAUGUUUUCUACCUCUCUCUUGUCCAGUUUUCCACGCGUUCUGCCUUUUUUUCUGGAAAAUGGGGGUAAAUUGAGCUUGGAGAUGAUUCCUGAACCAGUGGUUGCUCUGUGCUCUCCAUUUUUGCUUCAGGAACAGCAUUGGAGUUGUGGUGACAACAGUGGAAUAUCUAUCCUGAAAGCGCUGCUUGAUACUAGUUCUGAUACAAAGUUGCGUUUGACCAUUAUAUAAAAAAAAAUGUCUGGCCACCUAACCAUUUAAUCUUACCUGUCAAUGUAUGUGAUGCUCCUGAAUUACAUUCACAGCACAGAAUGUCUAAACGUUUUCUUCCUUCUUCAGCCAGAUGUUUUUAAAUGGUGUAAAAGGUACUAUGCAGUUUGGUUCUAAAUAUUGCUGGACUGGCUGAAAAAGUGCUAUGGAUAAUAUUUCAACAGGGAGCUCUCCUUACGUGCAGCCUUCAGCAAUGAUGGAUAAUGCUUGCAUCAGGUUACUCUGGCCUCUCAUUUAACCAAGCCUCAACAUUAUAAUUACCAACCAUGCAUUCCACCUGGAAAAAAUCUUCCAGCAUGGAUUGGUCAUUCCAGAGAUAACCUGUCCUUUGCUAAUCGGGAGAAGGAGGAAUGAUUUUGGACCACCUUCAAUGUACUAAGGGACAUGCUACUAACACUAUGGCAUUCAAUUAUGACCAUUUUAUUAGGUACUACACUGUUAGCCCAGAUUUCAUAUCUACUUAAGAAUUUAAUUACAACAUGCUUAAAUUAUUUAAGUUUGAGUGCAUUACUAAAAAAAUUAAGCAGAUUCUACUAAUUUGUUCACAUAUUUCAAUGUAUGAAUAAUUUUAAGU
ensembl:lncRNA